rnacentral:rRNA from 1 species
GACGGAGGAUGCAAGCGUUAUCCGGAAUGAUUGGGCGUAAAGCGUCUGCAGGUGGCAGUUCAAGUCUGCUGUCAAAGACCGGGGCUUAACUUCGGAAAGGCAGUGGAAACUGAACAGCUAGAGUAUGGUAGGGGCAGAGGGAAUUCCUGGUGUAGCGGUGAAAUGCGCAGAUAUCAGGAGGAACACCAAUGGCGAAGGCAGCACUCUGGGACGGUACUGACGCUGAGACGCGAAAGCGUGGGGAGCAAACAGG